AAAAAGAACCUGAAACCGUGUACGUACAAGCAGUGGGAGCACCUUCGGGUGUGACUGCGUACCUUUUGUAUAAUGGGUCAGCGACUUAUAUUCUGUAGCAAGGUUAACCGUAUAGGGGAGCCGCAGGGAAACCGAGUCUUAACUGGGCGUUAAGUUGCAGGGUAUAGACCCGAAACCCGGUGAUCUAGCCAUGGGCAGGUUGAAGGUUGGGUAACACUAACUGGAGGACCGAACCGACUAAUGUUGAAAAAUUAGCGGAUGACUUGUGGCUGGGGGUGAAAGGCCAAUCAAACCGGGAGAUAGCUGGUUCUCCCCGAAAGCUAUUUAGGUAGCGCCUCGUGAACUCAUCUUCGGGGGUAGAGCACUGUUUCGGCUAGGGGGUCAUCCCGACUUACCAACCCGAUGCAAACUACGAAUACCGAAGAAUGUUAUCACGGGAGACACACGGCGGGUGCUAACGUCCGUCGUGAAGAGGGAAACAACCCAGACCGCCAGCUAAGGUCCCAAAGUCAUGGUUAAGUGGGAAACGAUGUGGGAAGGCACAGACAGCCAGGAUGUUGGCUUAGAAGCAGCCAUCAUUUAAAGAAAGCGUAAUAGCUCACUGGUCGAGUCGGCCUGCGCGGAAGAUGUAACGGGGCUAAACCAUGCACCGAAGCUGCGGCAGCGACACUAUGUGUUGUUGGGUAGGGGAGCGUUCUGUAAGCCUGCGAAGGUG
rnacentral:rRNA from 1 species